rnacentral:rRNA from 1 species
CGGAGGAUCCAAGCGUUAUCCGGAAUCAUUGGGUUUAAAGGGUCCGUAGGCGGUUUGUUAAGUCAGUGGUGAAAUCUGGUCGCUCAACGAUCAAACGGCCAUUGAUACUGACAGACUUGAAUUAUUGGGAAGUAACUAGAAUAUGUAGUGUAGCGGUGAAAUGCUUAGAUAUUACAUGGAAUACCAAUUGCGAAGGCAGGUUACUAUCAAUAUAUUGACGCUGAUGGACGAAAGCGUGGGGAGCGAACAGGAUUAGAUACCCUGGUAGUCCACGCCGUAAACGAUGGAUACUAGCUGUUGGGAGCAAUUUCAGUGGCUAAGCGAAAGUGAUAAGUAUCCCACCUGGGGAGUACGUUCGCAAGAAUG